UUUGUGCAAUAAGAUUUAUGUAUCGAUAAAUUUUAGUUAUUUCUUCUUAUAAUUUAUUUGUAAACUAUUAUUCAUCGCAAUUAGAAAUGACAUCACCACCAUCCCGCCCUUCGUCGGCCUUAUUGUAAGGUUUCUUACGCUUAUUUGCCAAUUGAUUUCACUCAUCUUGAUUACCACCAACACUGAUACUAUUUCUACCAAUAUUGGGGAUGUCAAAAACUCAAAAUCACGUUUAAGGAUGUUUUUGCUUACAGUUAAUGUCCUACUUCCUUGCUACCGGAGCAGCUAAAACUUGUGGGACGACACAACAAUUGAAGCAACUUAAAAAUGACGAACUGAAUAAAUUUCUAAGCAUAGCAGAUGCUGCGGCCAGCCUUUGUCUUUUUGGAUUCUUUUUCACUGCUGUUUCCUCAGUUUUCUCAUCGUACGCUCUUCCCCAGAGAGCUUGAUUUUAAAAGUAUCUUAUUUCGAUCCAACGAUCUGAGAGAUUACUGCAAAGAUUAUAUGAAGUUGCCUUAUGUUAUAUUCUUAAUUUUGCCACAUUUGGUCGUCAUAUAGUGUUGAAUUGCAAUUAAUUUGUAUUUAAUUUUGUAGGUAAUUGUUUAAGUACGUUGGUGAAAUUUUGGAAAUCUUAAGGUGAUUGUGUAUUUUUUUUUCUAGGAUAA